rnacentral:rRNA from 1 species
GACGAACGCUGGCGGCGUGCCUAACGCAUGCAAGUCGCACGCGCGCUGCUUCGGCAGCGUGAGUGGCGCACGGCUGAGGAUCACGUGGGAACAUGCCUCUUGGUGGGGGACAACAGCGCGAAAGCGGUGCUAAUCCCGCAUACGCUCGCUAGCGAGGAAAGCGUGUAAACGCGCCGAGAGAGUGGCCCGCGGCCCAUCAG